rnacentral:rRNA from 1 species
CGUGUAGGCGGCCUUUUAAGUCAGACGUGAAAUCCAUGGGCUUAACCCAUGAAUUGCGUUUGAAACUGGAGGGCUUGAGGAUCGGAGAGGGCAGUGGAAUUCCCAGUGUAGCGGUGAAAUGCGUAGAUAUUGGGAGGAACACCAGUGGCGAAGGCGACUGCCUGAACGACACCUGACGCUGAGGCGCGAAAGCUAGGGGAGCAAACGGGAUUAGAUACCCCGGUAGUCCUAGCCGUAAACGAUGGGUACUAGGUGUGGGAGGUAUCGACCCCUUCCGUGCCGCAGUUAACACAAUAAGUACCCCGCCUGGGGAGUACGGCCGCAAGGUUGAA